rnacentral:tRNA from 1 species
UGCGGGGUCUGCUAACCGGUAGGCAACAUGGCUCUGAACCAUGGAAUCUAGGUUCGAUUCCUAGCCCCGCAG